UACGGGGGGGGGCAAGCGUUGUUCGGAAUUACUGGGCGUAAAGGGCUCGUAGGUGGCCAACUAAGUCAGACGUGAAAUCCCUCGGCUUAACCGGGGAACUGCGUCUGAUACUGGAUGGCUUGAGUUUGGGAGAGGGAUGCGGAAUUCCAGGUGUAGCGGUGAAAUGCGUAGAUAUCUGGAGGAACACCCGUGGCGAAGGCGGCUCUCUGGGACGGUACUGACGCUGAGACGCGAAAGCGUGGGGAGCGAACAGG
rnacentral:rRNA from 1 species